UACGAAGGGUGCAAGCGUUAAUCGGAAUUACUGGGCGUAAAGGGUGCGUAGGCGGUUAGUUAAGUCUGUUGUGAAAUCCCCGGGCUCAACCUGGGAAUGGCAAUGGAUACUGGCUGGCUAGAGUGUGUCAGAGGAUGGUGGAAUUCCCGGUGUAGCGGUGAAAUGCGUAGAGAUCGGGAGGAAUACCGAUGGCGAAGGCAGCCUCCUGGGCCAACACUGACGCUCAUGCACGAAAGCGUGGGGAGCAAACAGG
rnacentral:rRNA from 1 species